AGUUGUAACCUAGAGAAGUGUAACCUGUGCUGGACCGUGUACAAGUCUCCUGGAAUGGAGCAUCACAGAGGGUGAGAAUCCCGUCUUUGACACGGACUACCAGUGCAUUGUGGUUGUGCUCUCAACGAGUCGAGUUGUUUGGGAAUGCAGCUCUAAAUGGGUGGUAAAUUCCAUCUAAAGCUAAAUAUUGGCGAGAGACCGAUAGCGAACAAGUACCGUGAGGGAAAGAUGAAAAGAACUUUGGAAAGAGAGUUAAACAGUAUGUGAAAUUGUUGAAAGGGAAACGUUUGAAGUCAGUCGUGUUGGCUGGGGAUCAACCUGACUUAUUGUUAGGUGUAUUUCCUGGUUGACGGGCCAACAUCAGUUUUGACUGCCAGAAAAAGGCCAAGGGAAUGUGGCACCUUUGGGUGUGUUAUAGCUUUUGGUCGUAUGUGGUGGUUGGGACUGAGGACAGCAGUGCGCCGCAAUGGCAGGGUUUCGACCACAUUCGCACUGAGGAUGUUGGCAUAAUGGCUUUAAGCGACCCGUCUUGAAACACGGACCAAGGAGUCUAACAUGCAUGCGAGUGUUUGGGUGGAAAACCCUUACGCGUAAUGAAAGUGAAAGUUGAGAUCCCUGUCGUGGGGAGCAUCGACGCCCGGACCAGAACUUUUGGGACGGAUCUGCGGUAGAGCACGUAUGUUGGGACCCGAAAGAUGGUGAACUAUGCCUGAAUAGGGUGAAGCCAGAGGAAACU
rnacentral:rRNA from 1 species